GACGGAAGUCUGAUGCAGCAACGCCGCGUGCGGGAUGACGGCCUUCGGGUUGUAAACCGCUUUCAAUUGUGACGAAGCUUUUUUGUGACGGUAGCAGUAGAAGAAGCACCGGCUAACUACGUGCCAGCAGCCGCGGUGAUACGUAGGGUGCGAGCGUUGUCCGGAUUUAUUGGGCGUAAAGAGCUUGUAGGCGGUUUGUCGCGUCGGGAGUGAAAACUUGGGGCUUAACCCUGAGCUUGCUUUCGAUACGGGCUGACUUGAGGGAGGUAGGGGAGAAUGGAAUUCCUGGUGGAGCGGUGGAAUGCGCAGAUAUCAGGAGGAACACCGGUGGCGAAGGCGGUUCUCUGGACCUUUCCUGACGCUGAGAAGCGAAAGCGUGGGGAGCGAACAGGCUUAGAUACCCUGGUAGUCCACGCCGUAAACGGUGGGUACUAGGUGUGGGGGACAUUCCACGUUCUCCGUGCCGUAGCUACGCAUAAGUACCCCGCUGGAGUACGCGCAGGGCUAACUCAAGAUGACGGGCCGCACA
rnacentral:rRNA from 2 species